UAGGGUAGAGCUCAGUGGUAGAGCACAUGCUUAGCAUGCACGAGGUCCUGGGUUCAAUCCCCAGUACCUUCA
rnacentral:tRNA from 1 species